rnacentral:rRNA from 1 species
UACGUAGGGUGCGAGCGUUGUCCGGAAUUACUGGGCGUCAAGAGCUCGUAGGUGGUUUGUCGCGUUGUCCGUGAAAACUCACAACUCAAUUGUGGGCGUGCGGGCGAUACGGGCAGACUGGAGUACUGCAGGGGAGACUGGAAUUCCUGGUGUAGCGGUGGAAUGCGCAGAUAUCAGGAGGAACACCGGUGGCGAAGGCGGGUCUCUGGGCCGAUACUGACACUGAGGAGCGAAAGCGUGGGGAGCGAACAGG